rnacentral:lncRNA from 1 species
GGAAGUGGCUUAAUGAUCCUGAAGGGAUUUCUUCUGAUGGUAGCUUUUAUAUUCUCAAGUAAGAUUCUAUUUUCAGUUGUGUAUAAGCAAGUUUUUUUCUUAGUGUAGGAAAAGUAUUUUUCUUUUGUAUGACUGCAAACAAGAUGCUAAGGUAUGCUUCAAAAUUGCUGUAAAUUGUGUAUUUUAAUCAUAACUGAUACAGAGGGUGGGUCUUUGUGGAUGAGGGAGGGGAAACCUUUUUUUUCUGUAGACUUUUUUCAGAUAACUUCUUCUGAGUCAUAACCAGCCUGGCAAUAUGAUGGCCUAGAUGGAGAGGGAACAGCUCCUUGGUGAAUGAUAAGUAAAGGCAGAAAAGAUUCUAUUUCAUACCUCCAUUGGGGAAAAAGCAUAACCUUGAGAUCCUUACUACUGAUGAACGCAUGGUCUGCAUAUGCAAAAAAAAAAAAAAAUUAACCAAAUGAAACUACCAAUUUAAAGUUAAUGGAAACUACCAUUUAAAAGUUCUGGCCUAUCAAGCUAUACCCACACACAAAAAUGAAUUGAUGAGAAAUAAUAUAAUGAAUUGAUGAGAAAUGCAACGAAGAUCAAGUGUCCAUCUCAAAAUGCUGCUUUUACAAAAGCAGAAUAAAGAAAUGAAAUGAAAAUAAUACUACAUUAAUCGUGGAAUAAAAGAAGCUGAAAUAAUUCAGAGUGGGAUCAAGUGGAUUGAGAGGAGGAGGCUGUGCUGUUUGCCAAUCUUUCGUUUGCCUCAGACAGGUUUCUCUUCAUUAUCAGAAGAGUUGCUUCAUUUCAUCUGGGAGCAGAAAACAGCAGGCAGCUGUUAACAGAUAAGUUUAACUUGCACCUGCAGUAUUGCAUGUUAGGGAUAAGUGCUUAUUUUAAAUAAGGGCUGUGGAUGUCUUGAGUAUUGAACAUGGCCGUUUUUCCUGAUCCCUUCCCUAGGGGAUUCCAGGAUUGUGAGGAAUUUUCCCAUCUAGCCUUUGUAAAGUUAGACAGGACUUGUACCUGUGGGCUUCCAUGAUGGGAUCGCACACCUCACUCAGGCAAGUAAUUCCUAAAAGCCUUGAGGGUGGUGCCUUUAUAUAAUAAGGCGGCGUUUUAUAAAACUAAGAAAACUUGUUUAGCAUUGAAUCGCUUAAAUCCUACAAAAGGAUAGCAUAAUGUGUUAAGAAUCGGAUGCUGUUAAUCUUGCUAAAAUUUAAUUGUGUUGUGAUGUACGUUGUGCAGAAAACAUAAAAUCGUUCAAAAUAAAA